rnacentral:rRNA from 1 species
AAGCAACGCGAAGAACCUUACCAGGUCUUGACAUCCCGCUGACCGGCAUGGAGACAUGCUUUUCCCUUCGGGGACAGCGGUGACAGGUGGUGCAUGGUUGUCGUCAGCUCGUGUCGUGAGAUGUUGGGUUAAGUCCCGCAACGAGCGCAACCCUUGAUCUUAGUUGCCAGCAUUCAGUUGGGCACUCUAAGGUGACUGCCGGUGACAAACCGGAGGAAGGUGGGGAUGACGUCAAAUCAUCAUGCCCCUUAUGACCUGGGCUACACACGUGCUACAAUGGAUGGUACAAAGGGCUGCAAGACCGCGAGGUUUAGCCAAUCCCAUAAAACCAUUCUCAGUUCGGAUUGCAGGCUGCAACUCGCCUGCAUGAAGCUGGAAUCGCUAGUAAUCGCGGAUCAGCAUGCCGCGGUGAAUACGUUCCCGGGCCUUGUACACACCGCCCGUCACACCACGAGAGUUUGCAACACCCGAAGUCGGUGGGGUAACCCUUACGGGAGCCAGCCGCCGAAGGUGGG